CCUACGGGUGGCAGCAGUCGAGAAUCAUUCACAAUGGGCGAAAGCCUGAUGGUGCGACGCCGCGUGGGGGAAUGAAGGUCUCCGGAUUGUAAGCUCUUGUCAUGUGGGAGAAAAUUAAAAAGAUAGUACCACAAGAGGAAGAGCCGGCUAACUCUGUGCCAGCAGCCGCGGUAAGAAAGAGGUCUCAAGCGUUGUUCGGAAUCACUGGGCGUAAGGCGUGCGUAGGCGGUUUAGUAAGUCGGGUGGGAAAGGCGAGGGCUCAAACCACGGAAGGCAAAUGAUACUGCUAGACUAGAGUGAUGGAGGGGGGAGUGGAAUGCGCGGUGUAGCAGUGAAAUGCGUAGAUAUCGAGAGGAACACUGGUGGCGAAGGCGGGUUCCUGGACAUUAACUGACGCUGAGGCACGAAGGCGAGGGGAGCGAAAGGGAUUAGAUACCCUUGUAGUC
rnacentral:rRNA from 1 species